UUUAAAAACAGUACAUUUUUAUUUGACAUUAAACAACAAACUCCCCAAUUUGUCUCAGUUGUGACAUAUAGACAGCUUUAGGUUGCUUUUUUGGUGGUUAUCCGAACUGAACAAGACUUUUCAGUCUUCACAACAACCAAGGCUCAGAUAUUAUGUGUUUCACAUCAGUUCACAAGUCCAUGUGUGUCUUCCAUUCAUCAGAGCAUUUUGGCAUAGAUCCUUUUAAGGUAAAAGGGUAGAUGUAAAGCUGUUUCUUUUUCUUAAGAAAAAAAAAAUUGUUCACAACUUCAUUUAUGCCACAAAAAUCAGAUGACAGAAUGUUCUAUUAUUCUUGUUUAUCAGUAGUGUGGCCUUGGGAUGCCAGAAACUGUGAAAUGAAGACUGUUACUUUCUCCUUUCCAAUAAUGCAUCUCUCAUCCCUACCUGGAGAAAGGGGAGUUACUGAGUCCAGCUAAUAGUACAUAUUAAACACCAAACAUUAUUAAUAUCAGAUACACCUUACACUUAAAUAAAAAUAUACAAAGCAAAAACUACAAACAUUACCCCAAAUCCCAUUCAAAUUCGCUCCCUCCAGCAACUAUCUCCUGCCAUUCUUCUAUUUCCUUCUAUUUUUACAGAUGGUAUUGUUGUCUUGCCAUGUAAACUUUAAGGUGUAGAUGCUUUGAAAGUGUGUAUGAAUUAUAGUGAACGAUAAAGUCCUCUUUCUACGUAGUGGACCGACUUUAGCUUUAAGACUACCUUAUGAUGGAGAGGUCACAUAGAUUUAAUAAAUUCCAUAAUUAUAUAACCCCAGGCUUAACUGAUGGACAAAGGACUUUGUCCUCAUCUUAACAGUGACCAGUUUUUAAAAUUGAAUUACACUAAGAACAGCAAUCCCCAAGUUAGAUCUGGAGGUAGCAAUACUUUUAAGACCAACUCUUUUUAGAAUCAGGCUUGACCUUUUCUUUCACUCUUCCUCCUAUCCCACCCUCUGUGAGUGAUUUAAAAAGAGAAAAGGCCAAAGCCCAUUUGGGCCUAUAUGUAGAUUUUUUUUCCCUCCAACAUUUGCCAAAUACUUUCAAGUUCUAUUAUUCUUAAGGCUUAAGCAUAGUAAAAUUGUUAGGCUAUUUUCAAGUCUUAUCUUAAGCAGGUUUUGAUGGUGAAAAGGAAAAGAUUUCUAAAUUGUAAGUUGAGAAGCUGUUGUUGCAAAACACAAAUCAUGUCUCCAUCUCCAAACUUGCUAAGUAAUAUCAGAGGAUUGUUUUUAAAAAAGACUUAGGCAGUGUAUAUUUGUCAUAGACAAAACUGUAAGUGUGUUUCAAAACCAAUUGUGAUUUGAGUAUGAGUGGUUCUUCAAGGUUGGUACCAAUGAGACUGAAGUUUGGGAAUCAGUUGCUUCUCAUCCCUCUUUCGGCUCACUAUGAUCACAACCAUUUUUCAUGAGGGAUGGGUUAGGAAAACUGAAGUGUUUUAUUAUAAGGAAGGAUCCUGCAAUUUAAGGAGCAGUUCAGUAAAAACCCCUGCUUAUUGUAGUGGCCAGAGUGGUUUAAGAUGGAGUAGGAAUUAAACCACACAAUAUUAUUGAGGAAGUAAGCCGUUUAGCCCUGAUCAGAAAAUAGGCCAAAAGGCAAAUUUUAAGUUCUCUGGGAAGGCAUUCAUUUUCUCAUGUCUCUUUCUGGGGGUUAGCUAGAGAACCUAGCUAGAACCCAGCUAAGGAGCUUAUAUACAAUAGGCACUCAAACAUACUUGUAGAAUGAAUGAAUAAAUUUAAAAAAUUAACAAUAACCUCUUCUCUUAUAUACCAGUUUCCAAGUCAAGUAAGUGUCUUUCAGUCAAGAUCUUUUUUGUUUUCUGUCUAGGAAUUAGCACAAUGCCUUGAAAUAGACACUCAUUCAAUGAAGUUUCACUCCAUUUCUUGUUUUUUUUUUUUUUUUAACUGCAUCUCCAAGACAAUUUCUUUUUUACCAGAUCUAUUUCAUUUAGCAUCACCUUCUUCAAUGCUUGUAUGAAUAACUGAAAAGCUUUUUUAUUCCUUCUCUACAAAACAUGCCAAAGAGAAAGUGAUCUGUUUAAUCAUUCCAUCUCAGUAUCUUAAUAUCACAGCUACUUUAGUUUUUCCAACUAAUGAAAGAAUUGCAAUCUCCUAUUAAAUUUGUUCUUGUGUGUCCUCCAUGUACUAGUGAAAUUAAAGUAUAUUUUGGUCUAGGUCUUGUAAAUCUCUUCAUUCUCCUCAGCACUUAAGAACAGUACUUCAUUCAAGUGAAUAAUUUACAAAAUAUGGAAAAUCUAGGAAGAAUCUUUUUUGUUGUCUUCCUGAUUCCAUGCCAUAAUAAUCUUGAUUGUCAUCUUACCCAUUUAACUAUAAUAAAAACAGAAUAUUAAUGAAUUAAAGGACAAACUCUGAGGCCUUUUAUUAAUCUUCUGGCUUCAAUCUAGGUCAAUGAGCACAUGACAUUGAUACUUUCUAGAGCCAAGAAAUAUAUCUUCACUUUACAUUGAAAGAACCAUAUUGUUUUUCUAUUUUUUAAAUUUCCAAGGCAAGUCAAUAGGUUUUCUGGACCAGACUUCACCAAGAAAAUAGGAACAAGAAUUCAAGGAACAGGAAUAGGAUCUAGGGAACGGGAACUCAAAUAUUUACUUAAAACUCAAAGAUGUUUUUGGAUCUUCAGUUAUAAUCUUUGAUCUAUCUAAAGCCCUUUAGACUAGGCCCAUUUCAUAUCUCUUAUGCUCAGGACCUAGAAUGAUAUAUUUUACAUAAAAGAUGCUGUUCAUCAAAUUAAUCUAAAAGCCAACUUGAACCAUUUUUUACUCUUUCAAUUUCUCUAUGCCAGGCCAGAGUGGAUUGAAUUCACCUCCAUCUUCAGCAUUCAGCAUUUAAAAGACCAAUGGAGAAUGACAACAUCUUGCUCUUUAAACAAAGAAACAAAAAAAUUCCAUUCCUUUAGUCAAGCCAGGGAGCAAGUGGCCUUCUGGUCUGGAUUUUAUCUUUCCACCUAGCUCAGCAUUCAGCAUACUGCCUUGCACAAUUCCAUUCUGCCCAUGUUUUUAUCAUCAAAUAAGCUGAGCAAUGGUUAAGUAAUUUUUAUUCUGGAUUCCCACUCAUGUUAUUUACAGCAUCUGAUAAGGAGAGUCAUUUUUAUAUCCUAGAGCAUACACAGUUUUGAGCUUUAUAGAUAGAAAGUAAUCAGUAACCAUUCAUUAAGCCAACAGUUAAUUCUUUAGAUCUGUAUAGAACAGUAAGCUUUGUAAAAUUUAUACAGAUCUCUGUUACAGGUUCAACAAUAAUGGCAAUGAAUUUUUGCAUCCCUAGUUGCUAUCUCUUGGAAUAAGAGAGAGUAAGUAAUCAAUGUUCAUUCAGCAGAUAUGGCUUAUAUAUGUAUGCCAGUUUAAGACCUACAAAUUGAUUUUAUAUAUUACCUUCUGCUGCCCAGAACACAGUAAAGAUGGAUUAUCUUCUUAUCUCUUAUGCUUAUCAAGGAGACUGGCACAUAAUUAUCAUCCAGGCUUGCAUUCAUCAGACAUUUAGUCCUUUAUGUAUCAUAUUUGAAGUGUUCAGUAAUUAACAAUCCUUGCUCAAAUUUUUUCUGACUUUUUUCAUGGUAUAAUAGCUAUGAUACAAUUUUGCAAGCCUAGUAUUAGGCAUACCAACUGAGGAAAUCAAUAGUUACACUUAUAUGGUACUCUUAGAGUUCACAAAAUACUAACGUAUGUUAUUGCCUAUUCUCAACUGUAGGCACAAUAAAAUGAUAAAUUUGUGUGUCUCUUUAGUGCCUAUAACAGUGAGUUCACAUAGUAGGCAACUAAUAUUAAUGACCCAUUCAUUUACCAAGUAUUUAAACUCUCAGUUUGUAUACUGAGAAUUUUAUACUGCCUUUCUCAUAGUGGGUCAAACACACAAUGAGAACCUGUGGCUCAGAUGGUAAAGAAUCUGCCUGCAGUGCAGGAGACCUGAGUUCAGUUUCUGGGUCAAGAAUAUCCCCUGGAGAAGGGAAUGACAACCCACUUCAGUUUUCUUGUGUGGAGAAAUCCACAGAGAGAGGAGUCUGGUGGGUUACAGUCCAUGGGGUCGCAAGAGUCAGACAUGAUUGAACGACUAACACACACAAACAAAUGUCUGUCUCAACCUAAGUUUUGUUCACAGAGAAAACACCUAAUGUUUUAUAUUUAUGUAGCAUUUUAUAGUUAGAAAGCUCAAUUUCAUUCAUUACAUUUUCCUAUUACCUUGGGAAAUAUACUGGUAAUAAUUUAGUUCAACAUCACCAGUAAAGUCUUUAUUGAUUAAAAUAAAUAAUAUCUAAUUCUUUAUAUAUAAGUAGUAUAGGACAUAAACAUCCCUCUUAUCACUUGGGAGCAUUGUCUUAGAUUUCACAGUACCUGAAACAAUAGCUGGCAUAUAUAAGGAAAUUAAUACUUAUUCAUUCAUUCAUAAACAUAUAGCCCAUUGGUAUUUAUACAGUGCUUUAGUACAAAGCACUUUAAAAUGUACGGCCUAUCUAAAAUUUUUAAUUAUUCUAUAAUAAGAAUAUUCUUUUCCUUUGACAUCUGUAGUGCCCAGGAUGUUAUCUGGCACAUUAUAAGUAAUCACAAUAGCUUAAAUCCCUUGUGUUUGCAGUAUGCUUUAUAGUUUAAGGGUUUGGAAGCCUGGCAUGCUGCAGUUCAUGGGGUCACAAAGCGUCAGACACGACUUAGCGACUGAACAAUGUUUUCUUUUCUGUGACUUGGAAUACUACAUCUGUACUCAGAAUCACCAGAGCCACAGAAACACAAUGGCCACAAAUACAUGAAUUACUCAUUUAUCAUAGACUUAAUUCCUAAUAUCUGUACAGUAUUACAUACUUUUGAGAAAGCCCUUUAUUCACGCUUUUGUUCUUUGUAUAUACAGUGCCUAGAAAUGUAUAUACCAUGUAAUCAAUGUUCAUUCAUCAACUCUGAAAAUUGUGACAAGCUUUUAAAGUGCAUAAUAGUUUAUAAGUCACAUUCAUAUAUUUUUCUUCAUAUCACCUGGAUAUGACCAUAAGUAAUCAUUGCAUCCUUAAUGCAUACAGGGACAGGCACAAAGAAAGAAAUUAAUAUUAUUCAGCACACAGUCCCUGGCAAUUACACCAGGGGUGAUAAACUGUGGCCCACAGACCAUAUUCACUUUAAAAAUAAAAAAAAGCAGAGAGAGACCAUAUGGCUUGCAAAGUAUAAAAUAAUUGCCAUCUGAUCCUUUACAAAAAGGGUGUGAUAACCCUUGAUUUACAUAAUGCUUCACAACUGACAACGCAUUUUCAAAUGUUAGCUGUGCAUGAGUGCCAAUACAUUAUUAAUGAGAAAGUCUUGCUUUUUUUUCUGUGUUUUACAGUGCUUUCAUAUAUAUUAUCACUAAAAUUAUCUUUCCUUAUGGUAAGAGGAAAAAAAUUAAUGAAAGGAUUAAACCUGCUAAAUAUUCCCAGAUUUUCUCACCUUUAAGCCUAGGUAUUAAACCGAGGGAUAAAAUUUAUGCAGCUUACCACAUUAUUAGGCCACUACUAUGAGCAGGGAGUUCAUGCUCCUUCCUUGGGGCCUCACUAUGUGUUAGGCCCAAUCCUCCUUCAUAACCAACAGUAAGAAUCCCAAACCUCAGGUAUCCUGCUCACCCAAGCUCAAAUAAGUAAGAUGUUGCUGGCUGGCACUUCUCAGCAAACUGGCACAUCUGUGUAUUUCUUGUCUAAUUCUUCUCAUUGGCCUGUGGAGCAUCUCUUCACAUUUUCUCUAGAUAGCUUGGCACUUUCUUUCCCCUCAAUAACUGAACCUGAUACUUUCCUUCUCUCAUCAGCCUAGAGCUUCUGAGGAAAGAGGGGACUGAAAUAUAAUGUCAGCUAUGUGUCCCUCUCAAGUGGAGAGGAGGUGAAGAGAAAUGGAAGUUUAAAACUUCAAAAACUUAAUAAAUGGUUCAAAACUGUAAUAAAAACAGGCCAAAGCAUAAUAUUACUGAUCUAAAGAUACGUUUUUUUUUUUUUUUAAGGUAACAUCAAAAAGGACAUCUCAAAAGAAGUAGAUAUAAAUGGAGACAUGAGAAGGAAGGGAGAACUGAAAAUGUCCAAGAGUAGGGAAAAGAGCAAUAGAAACAGCUGGGGUUUAAGAGUCUCAUCUUGGAAUUUCCUUUGGUCCUGGGGCUUCUUUCUUUCCUGGUAUCUCUGUCACGAACCUCCAGUUUCCCAUCUAAUUUAGUCUUGAAAUAUCUGUCUCUCUUGGGCCUUCUGUCUUAUAUAGAUAGGUUUGAGUCCUGGGUCUUUGUGUGUGCUAGGGCACUUCCAUCUUUUGGGUCACAGGUCUUCAAGACAAGGUUUUUUAAUCCCAUCCUAGGUCUUUGGCCUUCUGUCUCACGGAGACUUGAGUCUUCUAUCCAACUCCAGUCUAGACCCUUGGACCUUCUGUUGGUUUUGAUCAUCUCACAGGGCGGCCUGGCAUAACGAACAGCUCUGCAAUGCUUAUUUUGAUAGCUGACACUCUGCACCUACUGGAAGGGGUUAGGAGGCGCCUUUACAAACACACAAAAGAGCACACACACAAACACGCAUGAAAAAAUAUGCCAGGAGAGAGAAUUGCAUGAAAUCAAAGAGGGGGAGACAUAGACUCAAGAAAUACUCAAAAGUGAAUAGAAAGGCAAAAGGAGAGAAGAACCAAGAGAACAGAGAUGAAUGCUGAAAUUGAAAAUCACAAAGAACAAAGAGACACUGGGGCACACAAAGCAUGAGGAAAAAAAGAGAAAAUAGCCCAAGAAAGGCACAAAGAAUAUGUAGAAAAGAGAAAUAUGCAAGAUAAAGAGUAGAAACAGCAGAAGGGUAGCCAGUAUCAGAAAAGGUGAAAUGUCAAGCCAACAAGGGGAACGGGUGACAGAGUUCACAAAGAGAAAAAGAAGAGAGGCAGGCAUAGCAAGAAAUGAGCAAAAGGCACACAUAACUCAAGAGGCUCACAGAGAACGGUGAAAGAAGAGCUAGAUCUAGCAGAGCAAGGAGAAUCAGUAACAAAAUGAAGAAAACUAGAGAGAGACAUUUAAGACAAGACACAAACCACUCCUGGGUACAAAAAAGUAAAUGAGACAAAGAUAUACAGAGAAGAAACUAGCAAGAGAAUCAUGGAAAUGGGUAAGACAUACUUUAGACAAGAAAGACCAAAGACAUUCAAAGAAGAAACAGACAAACAAACAAAUACACACUUAUGAGUUUAAAAGAUAAGCAAAGGCAGACAUGGAAGAGGGUAAGAAACAGAAGAGACAAACUA
ensembl:lncRNA